CGGCGAGUGAAGCGGCAAGAGCUCAAAUUUGAAAGCUGGCCCCUUCGGGGUCCGCAUUGUAAUUUGCAGAGGAUGCUUCGGGUGCAGCCCCCGUCUAAGUGCCCUGGAACGGGCCGUCGGAGAGGGUGAGAAUCCCGUCUGGGACGGGGUGCCUGCGUCCGUGUGAAGCUCCUUCGACGAGUCGAGUUGUUUGGGAAUGCAGCUCUAAAUGGGUGGUAAAUUUCAUCUAAAGCUAAAUACUGGCCGGAGACCGAUAGCGCACAAGUAGAGUGAUCGAAAGAUGAAAAGCACUUUGAAAAGAGAGUUAAACAGCACGUGAAAUUGUUGAAAGGGAAGCGUUUGCGACCAGACUCGGCGGCGGGGUUCAGCCGGGAUUCGUCCCGGUGUACUUCCCCGCCGACGGGCCAGCGUCGGUUCGGGCGGCCGGUCAAAGGCCCUGGGAAGGUAACGCCCUUCGGGGCGUCUUAUAGCCCAGGGUGCAAUGCGGCCUGCCCGGACCGAGGAACGCGCUUCGGCUCGGACGCUGGCAUAAUGGUCGUAAACGACCCGUCUUGAAACACGGACCAAGGAGUCUAACAUCUACGCGAGUGUUCGGGUGUCAAACCCGUGCGCGCAGUGAAAGCGAACGGAGGUGGGAACCCCUCGGGGUGCACCAUCGACCGAUCCUGAUGUCUUCGGAUGGAUUUGAGUAGGAGCGUAG
rnacentral:rRNA from 1 species